rnacentral:antisense_RNA from 19 species
GGGUGCUUGAAGCUAUCUGCUUCAGGUACUUUGCGGCAGAUAGAGAAAAGCCCCACUCGACUCUAAAUCGAAUGAGGCCCCUAUAUGCCAGACACAUACAGGCUAGCCUCUUACCCGCCGAAAGGCAAGGAGAUGUUAGCCAUG